GAAAAUUGGCUUCGGCUGAUGAGUAUACUGGCGGACGGGUGAGUAACGCGUAGGCAACCUGCCCUUAUGGCUGGAAUAACCACGAGAAAUUGUGGCUAAUACCGGAUAAGACAUACUGUGCGCAUGUAUGGGAUGUCAAAGUUACCGCAAGGUAAUGCAUAGGGAUGGGCCUGCGUUCCAUUAGUUAGUUGGCGGGGUAAUGGCCCACCAAGACAGCGAUGGAUAGCUGAUCUGAGAGGGUGAUCAGCCACACUGGGACUGAGAUACGGCCCAGACUCCUACGGGAGGCAGCAGUGAGGAAUAUUGCGCAAUGGACGUAAGUCUGACACAGCAACGCCGCGUGAGGGAUGAAGCACUAUGGUGUGUAAACCUCUGUAGAGAGGGAAGAAAGUUAUAUACUAAAAGGUAUGUAUUUGACGGUACCUCUAAAGUAAGCUCCGGCUAACUCCGUGCCAGCAGCCGCGGUAAUACGGGGGGAGCAAGCGUUGUCCGGAAUCACUGGGCGUAAAGGGCGUGUANGCUGGUUGGUAAGUCAGAUGUGAAAGGCUGCGGCUUAACCGUAGAUGUGCAUUUGAUACUGCUGAUCUUGAAUGCGAGAGAGGGUACUGGAAUCCCCAGUGUAGCGGUGAAAUGCGUAGAUAAUGGGAAGAACACCAGUAGCGAAGGCGGCUACCUGGCUCGUAACUGACGCUAAGGCGCGAAAGCGUGGGGAUCAAACAGGAUUAGAUACCCUGGUAGUCCACGCUGUAAACGAUGGGCACUAGGUGUGGUCUCAUUAUUGGGAUCAGUGCCGCAGCAAACGCAAUAAGUGCCCCGCCUGGGGAGUACGAUCGCAAGGUUGAAACUCAAAGGAAUUGACGGGGGCCCGCACAAGCGGUGGAGCAUGUGGUUUAAUUCGAUGCAACGCGCAGAACCUUACCGGGGUUUGACAUCCCGCUAACCGCCACAGAGAUGUGGUUUGGUAGCAAUACCUGGCGGGACAGGUGCUGCAUGGCUGUCGUCAGCUCGUAUCGUGAGAUGUUGGGUUAAGUCCCGCAACGAGCGCAACCCUUGCCUCUAGUUACCAUCAAGUAAAGUUGGGGACUCUAGAGGGACUGCCGGUGACAAACUGGAGGAAGGUGGGGAUGACGUCAAGUCCUCAUGGCCCUUACAUCCCGGGCUACACACGUGCUACAAUGGCCGGUACAACGAGUCGCGAAACUGUGAGGUGGAGCCAAUCUCUAAAAACCGGUCUCAGUUCGGAUUGCAGUCUGCAACUCGACUGCAUGAAGUCGGAAUCGCUAGUAAUCGCGGAUCAGCACGCC
rnacentral:rRNA from 1 species